rnacentral:tRNA from 1 species
GCAGUUAAAGCUCAGUGGUACAGCACAUGCUUAGCAUGCAUGAAGGCCUGGGUUCAAUCCCCAGUACCUCCA